rnacentral:rRNA from 1 species
CCUACGGGAGUCAGCAGUGGGGAAUAUUGGGCAAUGGGCGCAAGCCUGACCCAGCAACGCCGCGUGAAGGAAGAAGGCUUUCGGGUUGUAAACUUCUUUUGUCAGGGACGCAGCACGUGACGGUACCUGACGAAUAAGCAACGGCUAACUACGUGCCAGCAGCCGCGGUAAUACGUAGGAGGCAAGCGUUAUCCGGAUUUACUGGGUGAAACGGGCGUGUAGGCGGGACGGCAAGUCAGAUGUGAAAACUAAGGGCUCAACCUGUGGGCUGCAUUUGAAACUGUAGUUCUUGGGUACUGGGGAGGCAGACGGAAGUCCUAGUGUAGCGGUGAAAUGCGUAGAUAUUAGGAGGAACACCAGUGGCGAAGGCGGUCUGCUGGACCGCAACGGACGCUGAGGCGCGAAGGCGUGGGAGCGAACAGGAUUAGAUACCCGUGUAGUC